GAUGAACGCUGGCGGCGUGCCUAACACAUGCAAGUCGAGCGAGAACCGCUGGAAUGACACUUCGGUAGAAUGAAAGCGGGGAAAGCGGCGGACGGGUGAGUAACGCGUAGGUAACCUGCCCCAUACACAGGGAUAGCCUAGGGAAACCUGGAUUAAUACCUGAUGAAGCAACUGGUCGCAUGACCGGCUGCCAAAGAUUUAUCGGUAUGGGAUGGACCUGCGUCUGAUUAGUGAGUUGGUGGGGUAAUGGCCUACCAAAGCGACGAUCAGUAGCCGACCUGAGAGGGUGAUCGGCCACAUUGGAACUGAGACACGGUCCAAACUCCUGCGGGAGGCAGCAGUGGGGAUAUUGCACAAUGGGCGGAAGCCUGAUGCAGCAACGCCGCGUGAGCGAAGAAGGUCUUCGGAUCGUAAAGCUCUGUCCUGGGGAAGAACGAAAUGACGGUACCCCGGGAGGAAGCCCCGGCUAACUACGUGCCAGCAGCCGCGGUAAA
rnacentral:rRNA from 1 species